GAUGAACGCUGGCGGCGUGCCUAAUACAUGCAAGUCGAGCGAACAGACGAGGAGCUUGCUCCUUUGACGUUAGCGGCGGACGGGUGAGUAACACGUGGAUAACCUACCUAUAAGACUGGGAUAACUUCGGGAAACCGGAGCUAAUACCGGAUAACAUGUUGAACCGCAUGGUUCAACAGUGAAAGACGGUCUUGCUGUCACUUAUAGAUGGAUCCGCGCCGCAUUAGCUAGUUGGUAAGGUAACGGCUUGCCAAGGCAACGAUGCGUAGCCGACCUGAGAGGGUGAUCGGCCACACUGGAACUGAGCCACGGUCCAGACUCCUACGGGAGGCAGCAGUAGGGAAUCUUCCGCAAUGGGCGAAGGCCUGACGGAGCAACGCCGCGUGAGUGAAGAAGGUCUUCGGAUCGUAAAACUCUGUUAUUAGGGAAGAACAAAUGUGUAAGUAACUAUGCACGUCUUGACGGUACCUAAUCAGAAAGCCACGGCUAACUACGUG
rnacentral:rRNA from 1 species